CAGGAUGAACGCUAGCGACAGGCCUAACACAUGCAAGUCGAGGGCAGCAUGAGAGUAGCAAUACUUUGAUGGCGACCGGCGCACGGGUGCGUAACAGGUGUGCAAUCUGUCCAUAAUCGGGGAAUAGCCCGCCGAAAGGUGAAUUAACGCUCCAUGUGUAAUGAAGAGGCAUCUCUUUAUUAUGAAACGUAAGGAUUAUGGGUGAGCACGCUUCUGAUUAGGUAGUUGGUAGGGUAACGGCCUACCAAGCCGACGAUCAGUAGGGGUUCUGAGAGGAAGGUCCCCCACAUUGGAACUGAGACACGGUCCAAACUCCUACGGGAGGCAGCAGUGAGGAAUAUUGGUCAAUGGACGGAAGUCUGAACCAGCCAAGUAGCGUUGCAGGAUGACGGCCCUAUGGGUUGUAAACUGCUUUUAUGCGGGGAUAAAGUGACGUACGUGUACGUUUUUGUAGGUACCGCAUGAAUAAGGACCGGCUAAUUCCGUGCCAGCAGCAGC
rnacentral:rRNA from 1 species